rnacentral:rRNA from 1 species
GGACGAACGCUGGCGGUAUGCUUAACACAUGCAAGUCGAACGAGAAGGAAGAGCUUGCUCUUCCUGAAAGUGGCGAACGGGUGAGUAACGCGUGGGUAACUUACCCUUUGGAAAGGAAUAGCCUCGGGAAACUGGGAGUAAUGCCUUAUAAGAUACGUUUGUCGCAUGGCAUUUGUAUUAAACGCUCCGGCGCCAUAGGAUGGACCCGCGUCCCAUUAGCUAGUUGGUGAGAUAACAGCUCACCAAGGCCACGAUGGGUAACCGGUCUGAGAGGGCGAACGGUCACACUGGAACUGAGACACGGUCCAGACUCCUACGGGAGGCAGCAGUGGGGAAUAUUGCGCAAUGGGGGCAACCCUGACGCAGCAAUACCGCGUGAGUGAAGAAGGUUUUCGGAUCGUAAAGCUCUGUUAUUGGGGAAGAAAAAAAGACGGUACCCAAGAAGAAAGUUCCGGCUAACUACGUGCCAGCAGCCGCGGUAAUACGUAGGGAACAAGCGUUGUCCGGAUUUACUGGGCGUAAAGGGCACGCAGGCGGUUUUUUAAGUCAGAUGUGAAAGGCCACAGCUCAACUGUGGACAUGCAUUUGAAACUGAAAGACUUGAGUAUUGGAGAGGCAAGUGGAAUUCCUAGUGUAGCGGUGAAAUGCGUAGAUAUUAGGAGGAACACCGGUGGCGAAGGCGGCUUGCUGGACAAAUACUGACGCUGAGGACGAACGCUGGCGGUAUGCUUAACACAUGCAAGUCGAACGAGAAGGAAGAGCUUGCUCUUCCUGAAAGUGGCGAACGGGUGAGUAACGCGUGGGUAACUUACCCUUUGGAAAGGAAUAGCCUCGGGAAACUGGGAGUAAUGCCUUAUAAGAUACGUUUGUCGCAUGGCAUUUGUAUUAAACGCUCCGGCGCCAUAGGAUGGACCCGCGUCCCAUUAGCUAGUUGGUGAGAUAACAGCUCACCAAGGCCACGAUGGGUAACCGGUCUGAGAGGGCGAACGGUCACACUGGAACUGAGACACGGUCCAGACUCCUACGGGAGGCAGCAGUGGGGAAUAUUGCGCAAUGGGGGCAACCCUGACGCAGCAAUACCGCGUGAGUGAAGAAGGUUUUCGGAUCGUAAAGCUCUGUUAUUGGGGAAGAAAAAAAGACGGUACCCAAGAAGAAAGUUCCGGCUAACUACGUGCCAGCAGCCGCGGUAAUACGUAGGGAACAAGCGUUGUCCGGAUUUACUGGGCGUAAAGGGCACGCAGGCGGUUUUUUAAGUCAGAUGUGAAAGGCCACAGCUCAACUGUGGACAUGCAUUUGAAACUGAAAGACUUGAGUAUUGGAGAGGCAAGUGGAAUUCCUAGUGUAGCGGUGAAAUGCGUAGAUAUUAGGAGGAACACCGGUGGCGAAGGCGGCUUGCUGGACAAAUACUGACGCUGA